UUAAUUGAAGCCAAAAAGAGGCGUAUUACUGUUAAUAAUAUAAUUGAAUAAUACAUUCCAAUUAAG
rnacentral:tRNA from 1 species